GGCGAGAUGGCCGAGCGGUCUAAGGCGCCAGACUAAGGUUUGUAUCCAAAUCGAAUCUGGUCCGAAAGGGCGCGGGUUCGAAUCCCGCUUUCGUCA
rfam:Phlebia centrifuga strain FBCC195 PHLCENscaffold_1609, whole genome shotgun sequence.